UUCUGAUUUGCUUUUAUUUUUCUGGGGUUUUUCUUUUCUGAAUUGAAUUGGCUUUUCUGAUUUGGCAAUUUAUUGGGCGUUGUUGUUGUUUCGGCUUGUUGUAUUUGCUUUUCUGAUUUGGCAAUUUUUUGGUUUGUCUCUUAUUCGUGGCCGUUGGUGUAAUUUGUUGAUGCAUUUGGUCUCCUGUUUGAGGACUGUUGCGGUUGCAUCCACAUACUUUUUCUUUUAUUUUGAUUAAUUUUCCUGGAGGUUAGCAGUUAGCUAUUGCUUUCAUGUGGAGGCAGCAUGGGAUUAACGUGGAUCAAUAUUGUAUUGCAGAAACAUGAAAGAGAAAAAAAGGAAAGGCAGCAAUCAAUAUUGCAUUGCAGAAACAUGAAAGAGAAAAAAAAGGAAAAGCAGCAAUCUAAGAACCAUAGCUAGUUAAUGCCAAGUUCUAAGUAGCUAGCUAGCCUACCAAAAAAAUAAAAUCUUUAAGAAGCCAUGCCGAAGCUGCAAAGAAACUUUGUCCUGGCUUUCUUAGUUUUUAGUCUAAAACAUCCUGCCUCAAAGAUAUUAGUUGUCGCAUGUGGUGAUUGCAGUAUAUGUUAGGACUGUUGAUAUGUGUAUAUUGCUUAAUUGGUUUAUAGGUUUGGACUUAGUUAAAGUUUUCCUUAAGCAUUUGGUCUGAUAGGCUUCAUGAAGUUGCCCAGUUUUUUUUACAGAAAUGGAGCAGAGGAUCUGCCUAGUUGCUGGGCUAUCAUGCUAUUACAAUGUCUACACAUUUGACUGCUAUGUGUUUUAUCAUAGUCUACGGUAUCUGAGUAGCUUCUAGUAUAAUUUCUACUUUUACUGCUACUAGGGGCAUCUGUACUUGGAAGUACUGGCACCCUCAUGCUAUCCAUGCUAGCUUUAGGAUCCAUCACACUUUCCUGCAAACUCUGAUAUGUAUGUAUUAAAUGGUAAAAAGGAUUCUCUUAAACAUGUUAAGGGCUGGGGCUGGAAUUCAACUGCAUGAACCAUGGAAAUCAAUGCAUCUGCUCUUGUUGAAUGUGAGCGGGUUAUGAUAUUAAAGAACAAUGUUCGAGAUCAUCUCAUGCUGGUCUAAUAGAGUUGCAGAUGAUAGACACUCGCUUGGCACGUAUAGAGGAUCAUUUAAGCAUUACUCCACCUCAGGGUGGAGCUGCAGAUGAAGAUGACGAUUGAAGCUGCACCAUUAGGAUCACUAUAUUAUUUGUGCAUGGAUUUGCUUCCAUUUUGUUCUUAAUCUGUGGAAUGUUGGAUGUUUAACUUGAUUUUACUUUUUCUGUUUUUUAAUUUACUAAAGACUUGUGCUUUUGCAGUGGUUUGUGAUUAUUGGCUGACAAGUUGUUGGAAAUAUUGCUUGGAUUAAAU